rnacentral:rRNA from 1 species
AAUCAACGCUGGCGGCGUGCCUAACACAUGCAAGUCGAACGCGAAAGCCCCUUCGGGGGUAAGUAGAGUGGCGUCCGGGUGAGUAACACGUAGGUAAUCUGCCUUCGGGUGGGGAAUAACCAGUCGAAAGAUUGGCUAAUACCGCAUAAUGCAGCGGCACCUAAUGGUGAUUAGUUGUUAAAGCGGGGGAUCGUAAGACCUCGCGCCUGAAGAGGAGCCUGCGGCAGAUUAGCUAGUUGGGAGGUAAUGGCUCACCAAGGCUUCGAUCUGUAGCUGGUCUGAGAGGACGGCCAGCCACACUGGCACUGACACACGGGCCAGACUCCUACGGGAGGCAGCAGUGGGGAAUUUUGGGCAAUGGGCGAAAGCCUGACCCAGCAACGCCGCGUGAGGGAGGAAAUCCUUCGGGAUGUAAACCUCACAAGCAAGGGAAGAGAGCUCAAGGCCGAAUAAGCUUUGAGUCCGACGGUACC